UUAAAGGCCACGUUGUAGCUCAAUCGGAUAGUUUGUCUUUUGAUGGGAUGUAGUAUACAGUAUCAUCAUGGUAUAUUCCAGGCAAAAAUAUUUAACUUGAAUCUGUCAAGCCUUUGCAUCUAACACAGUUUAUAAAAAAUACAACUGAUAGAUGAACAAACUAAAUGAUGCCAGAGGAAGUAACUAGACAGAUCCAGAAGGUGAAACAUUCUGCAGGAUAACUGGCCCAUCUCUUCAACAAUUUGUCAUGAUAAAAGCAACUGCUUUAUGAAAAGAAAUUUAAGGGACAUAACAGUUUGAAUUGGAUCCUGGUUUGAACAGACUGUCUAUAAAAUGCAUUUUCAGGACCAUUAAAGAAAUAUGAAUGUAGAUGGACUGAGUAUUGGAUAAAAUAGAAUUGUAUUGCCAUGGAAAAGAUCAUUAACUGAAAAGAGCAAGUCACGAAAUAGUAUGUUACAGCGUCUCAUUUUGGUUUAAAAAUGCACAUAUAUGUAUUUAUGUACAACGAAAAAAAUAGUGGGCUUAUACCCUAA
rnacentral:lncRNA from 1 species